AACGAACGCUGGCGGCAUGCCUAACACAUGCAAGUCGAACGAGACCUUCGGGUCUAGUGGCGCACGGGUGCGUAACGCGUGGGAACCUGCCCUUAGGUUCGGAAUAACUCCCCGAAAGGGGUGCUAAUACCGGAUCAUGUCUUCGGACCAAAGAUUUAUCGCCUUUGGUUGGGCCCGCGUUGGAUUAGCUAGUUGGUAGGGUAAAAGCCUACCAAGGCGACGAUCCAUAGCUGGUCUGAGAGGAUGAUCAGCCACACUGGGACUGAGACACGGCCCAGACUCCUACGGGAGGCAGCAGUGGGGAAUAUUGGACAAUGGGCGAAAGCCUGAUCCAGCAAUGCCGCGUGAGUGAUGAAGGCCGUAGGGUUGUAAAGCUCUUUUACCCGGGAUGAUAAUGACAGUACCGGGAGAAUAAGCUCCGGCUAACUCCGUG
rnacentral:rRNA from 1 species